GCUCCGGCGGUGAAGGAUGAGCCCGCGGCCUAUCAGCUUGUUGGUGGGGUAAUGGCCUACCAAGGCGACGACGGGUAGCCGGCCUGAGAGGGCGACCGGCCACACUGGGACUGAGACACGGCCCAGACUCCUACGGGAGGCAGCAGUGGGGAAUAUUGCACAAUGGGCGAAAGCCUGAUGCAGCGACGCCGCGUGAGGGAUGACGGCCUUCGGGUUGUAAACCUCUUUCAGCAGGGAAGAAGCGAAAGUGACGGUACCUGCAGAAGAAGCGCCGGCUAACUACGUGCCAGCAGCCGCGGUAAUACGUAGGGCGCAAGCGUUGUCCGGAAUUAUUGGGCGUAAAGAGCUCGUAGGCGGCUUGUCACGUCGGGUGUGAAAGCCCGGGGCUUAACCCCGGGUCUGCAUCCGAUACGGGCAGGCUAGAGUGUGGUAGGGGAGAUCGGAAUUCCUGGUGUAGCGGUGAAAUGCGCAGAUAUCAGGAGGAACACCGGUGGCGAAGGCGGAUCUCUGGGCCAUUACUGACGCUGAGGAGCGAAAGCGUGGGGAGCGAACAGGAUUAGAUACCCUGGUAGUCCACGCCGUAAACGUUGGGAACUAGGUGUUGGCGACAUUCCACGUCGUCGGUGCCGCAGCUAACGCAUUAAGUUCCCCGCCUGGGGAG
rnacentral:rRNA from 1 species